rnacentral:rRNA from 1 species
UACAGAGGGGGCAAGCGUUGUUCGGAAUUACUGGGCGUAAAGGGCGCGUAGGCGGGAUGGCAAGUCGGUCGUGAAAUCCCUCGGCUCAACCGAGGAACGUCGAUCGAUACUGCUGUUCUUGAGGAUUGCAGAGGAGACUGGAAGUUCCCGGUGUAGCGGUGAAAUGCGCAGAUAUCAGGAGGAACACCGAUGGCGAAGGCAGGUCUCUGGGCCACUACUGACGCUGAGAAGCGAAAGCAUGGGGAGCGAACAGG